rnacentral:rRNA from 1 species
GACGAACCGUGCGAACGUUGUUCGGAAUCACUGGGCUUAAAGGGCGCGUAGGCGGCCGCACAAGUCAGGGGUGAAAUCCUGCAGCUUAACUGUAGAAGGGCCUUUGAUACUGGCGAGCUCGAGGGAGGUAGGGGUAUGUGGAACUUCCGGUGGAGCGGUGAAAUGCGUUGAUAUCGGAAGGAACGCCGGUGGCGAAAGCGACGUACUGGACCUCUUCUGACGCUGAGGCGCGAAAGCUAGGGGAGCAAACGGG